GUUAGGGUUAGGGUUAGGGUUAGGGUUAGGGUUAGGGUUAGGGUUAGGGUUAGGGUUAGGGUUAGGGUUAGGGUUAGGGUUUAGGGUUAAGGGUUAGGGUUAGGGUUAGGGUUAGGGUAGGGUUAGGAUUAGGGUUAGGGUUAGGGUUAGGGUUAGGGUUAGGGUUAGGGUUAGGGUUAGGGUUAGGGUUAGGGUAGGGUUAGGGUUAGGGUUAGGGUUAGGGUUAGGGUUAGGGUUAGGGUUAGGGUUAGGUUAGGGUUAGGGUUAGGGUUAGGGUUAGGGUUAGGGUUAGGGUUAGGGUUAGGGUUAGGGUUAGGGUUAGGGUUUAGGGUUAGGGUUAGGGUUAGGGUUAGGGUUAGGGUUAGGGUUAGGGUUAGGGUUAGGGUUAGGGUUAGUGUUAGGGUUAGGGUUAGUGUUUGAGUUUGCAUUGGUUUUAGGGUUAGGGUAAGGGUUAGGGUUAAGGUUAGGGUUAGUGUUAGGGUUAUUGAAAGUGUUAGGGUUAGUGUUAAAGUUAGGGUUAGGUUAGGUUUACGGUUAGGGUGAAGGUUAGGGUUAGGGUUAAAGUUAGGGUUAGGUAUAAGGUUAUUGAGAGGGUUAGGGUUAGGGUUAGGGUUCAGGGAUAGGGUUAGGGUUAGGGUUAGUUUUAGGGUUAGGGUUAGGGUUAUUGAAAGUUAUUGUGUUAGGGUUAUGGUUAGUGUUAAAGUUAGGGUUAGGGUUAGGUUUACAGUUGGGUUUAGGGUUAGGGUUAGGGUAAGGGUUAAGUUUAGGGUUAGGGUUAAGGAUAGGGUUAAGGUUAGGUUUACAGUAAGUGUUAAGCUUAGGAUUAGGAUUACGGUAAGGGUUAGGGUUAGGUUUAGGGUAGGGUUAAGGUUAGGGUUAGGGUUCGGUAAUGGUUAGGGUUAGGGUAGGGUUAGGUUUAGGGUUAGGGUUAUGGUUAGAGUAAGGUUUAGGGUUAGGGUUAGGGCUAGGGUUAGGGUUAGGUUUAGGGUUAGCGUUAGGGUUAGGGUUAGGGUUAGGGUUAGGGUUAGGAUUAGGGUUACGGAAGGGUUUUGGUUUAGGUUUAAGGUUCUGGUUAUGAUUAGGGUUACGGAUGGGGUUAGGAUUAGGGUUAGGGUUAGGGUUAGGGUUAGGGUUAGGGUUAGGGUUAGGGUUAGGGUUAGGGUUAGGGUUAGGGUAGGGUUAGGGUUAGGGUUAGGGUUAGGGUUAGGGUUAGGGUUAGGGUUAGGGUUAGGGUUAGGGUUAGGGUUAGGGUUAGGGUUAGGGUUAGGGUUAGGGUUAGGGUUUAGGGUUAGGGUUAGGGUUAGGUUAGGGUUAGGGUUAGGGUUAGGGUUAGGGUUAGGGUUAGGUUAGGGUUAGGGUUAGGGUUAGGGUUAGGGUUAGGGUUAGGGUUAGGGUUAGGGUUAGGGUUAGGGUUAGGGUUAGGUUAGGGUUAGGGUUAGGGUUAGGGUUAGGGUUAGGGGUUAGGGUUAGGGUUAGGGUUAGGGUUUAGGGUUAGGGUUAGGGUUAGGGUUAGGGUUAGGGUUAG
ensembl:lncRNA